CCGUGAGGGAAGGGUGAAAAGAACCCCCAUCGGGGAGUCCAAUGCCCCGAAAACCUAAGGGUUCCUCCGCAAG
rnacentral:tRNA from 1 species